AACGCACGAGACCUGCGGACCUGCGGAGGGAUCAUUACUGAGUGAGGGCCCUCUGGGUCCAACCUCCCACCCGUGUUUAUUGUACCUUGUUGCUUCGGCAGGCCCGCCUCACGGCCGCCGGGGGGCUUUCCGCCCCCGGGCCCGCGCCUGCCGGAGACAAUCUUGAACGCUGUCUGAAGAAUGCAGUCUGAGCGAUUAAGCAAAAUUAGUUAAAACUUUUAACAAUGGAUCUCUAGAUCG
rnacentral:misc_RNA from 1 species